CAAAUCCUCGACCACUCCUCGGA
rnacentral:siRNA from 1 species